rnacentral:rRNA from 1 species
AAUCAACGCUGGCGGCGCGCUUAACACAUGCAAGUCGAACGAGAAAGCCGCAAGGUGAGUAAAGUGGCGCACGGGUGAGUAACACGUGGAUGAUCUACCUUUUAGUGGGGAAUACCGUUGGGAAACUGACGACAAUACCGCAUAAGCUCGAGAGAGGAAAGCCGAAAGGCGCUGAAAGAGGAGUCCGCGGCUGAUUAGCUAGUUGGUAGGGUAAAGGCCUACCAAGGCUUUGAUCGGUAGCCGGCCUGAGAGGGCACACGGCCACACUGGCACUGAAACACGGGCCAGACUCCUACGGGAGGCAGCAGUGGGGAAUCUUGCACAAUGGGGGCAACCCUGAUGCAGCGACGCCGCGUG